rnacentral:rRNA from 1 species
GGAGGAAAAGAAACUAACAAGGAUUCCCCUAGUAGCGGCGAGCGAAGCGGGAAGAGCUCAAAUUUGUAAUCUGGCGCUUUCAGCGUCCGAGUUGUAAUCUCUAGAAAUGUUUUCCGCGUUGGACCGCACACAAGUCUGUUGGAAUACAGCGGCACAGUGGUGAGACCCCCGUUCAUGGUGCGGAUGCCCAAUGCUUUGUGAUACAUUUUCGAAGAGUCGAGUUGUUUGGGAAUGCAGCUCAAAUUGGGUGGUAAAUUCCAUCUAAAGCUAAAUAUUGGCGAGAGACCGAUAGCGAACAAGUACCGUGAGGGAAAGAUGAAAAGCACUUUGGAAAGAGAGUUAACAGUACGUGAAAUUGUUGGAAGGGAAACGCUUGAAGUCAGACUUGCUGUUCGGAGUUCAGCCGCAAGGUGUACUCUCCGAGUUGCAGGCCAGCAUCAGUUUUUCGGGGUGGAAAAUCACGGUUUGAAGGUAGCAGUUUCGGCUGUGUUAUAGCUUUCCGUUGGAUACAUCCUGGGGGACUGAGGAACGCAGUGUGCUUUUAGCGGAGGUUUCGACCUCUUCACACUUAGGAUGCUGGUGGAAUGGCUUUAAACGACCCGU